rnacentral:rRNA from 1 species
UACGAAGGGGGGCUAGCGUUGCUCGGAAUCACUGGGCGUAAAGGGUGCGUAGGCGGGUCUUUAAGUCAGGGGUGAAAUCCUGGAGCUCAACUCCAGAACUGCCUUUGAUACUGAAGAUCUUGAGUUCGGGAGAGGUGAGUGGAACUGCGAGUGUAGAGGUGAAAUUCGUAGAUAUUCGCAAGAACACCAGUGGCGAAGGCGGACUCACUGGCCCGAUACUGACGCUGAGGCACGAAAGCGUGGGGGAGACAAA